CCAGGCGAUAGGCCAGCUGGCCGGCCGCGGUGCUCUGCGCCUCGUAGGCGGCACGUUCGAGACGGGCCGCAUGCC
rnacentral:tRNA from 1 species